rnacentral:lncRNA from 1 species
CGCCUUGUCGGACCCCUGAGAAGCCCCCACCGCCUCCGUGCUCCUACUGCGGCCGCCAGCGCCGGGCCCGCAGUGAGGAGGAGAACCUCAUUUUCCUCAACACAGAUCUAAGGGGACACCGCCUCACUUUGAGACAACUUGAGGCUGCGUCAGUGCUCUUUCUCUUCAAACUUCUUUAACAUGCCUUGGCUUAGUUGUUCUGCUUGAUUUUCCAAAAGAAGAACCUUCUCUGGAUAAGGCAGAGGAUAGUGAAGGGAGGAUUUAACCUUGUACUGUUGUUAUACAAUUCAAUAUUGAAGCGAGAGAUUCUCCAGAACUUGCCCAGAAGCCAAGACGUCUGGAAAGGAUCUCAGCCUCUGUCAGCCUGCAGCUUGGGAAGAGUGAUUCACAGAGCCUGACUGUCCACUGCUGCUAAACCAUACACUGGCCUUGGCUCACACAUCUGACUGAACUGUCUCCUAUGACUAACUGCCUCUCUUUCUUCAGCCUUGCAAGUUUCCUGGGAGUCCUGGGAGUGGACUUCACAUAUAAAAGGGGACUCUGGGAGACCUAGUUCCUGGCUUCUCUUCUGGAAGUCAGGGAAGAGUAUAGGAAGGAGUGGCCACAGUGCCCAACUGACAAUUGACAAUUUCACCAAAGAUCAUCAUUGACCCUGACAAGACUCAUUUCGGUAUAUAAUAUGGGAAAAGAAACCAGACUGCAACAGGCUGAGAAUGACCCAGGGAAGAGAAAACGGAGAAAUUAACUGCAGCUGAGUUUCUGGAGGACUGCAAUUUAGUAUGUUCAAAGAAUAGUCCAAGAAGCCGCUCCGGACCCUCAGCAUUAAGACGAAGGAGGGGGCAAACAGGUGAGAAAAUCGAGGCAACAAGAGGUUGGUUAACGUGCCCAAGAUCAGAUCGCACAGCGGUAUAAUAGGAUGGAAAACUCCUAUCACAUAAUGAACGUUAAGUGAAAAAAAUUAGUAUCCAAAACUGUAAGUCUGAUGUCUCAUUCUUUUUAUAAUUUAAGUAGUUUAUAAAUACCCUCAUUAUUAGCCAUAUUUCUGAGCACUUCAUAUGUAGAGUGCACUUUACAGAACACUGUCAUGUAACCCUCA